AUCGCUUCUCGGCCUUUUGGCUAAGAUCAAGUGUAGUAUCUGUUCUUAUCAGUUUAAUAUCUGAUAUGUCUUUUACUCGAAGACAAAUAUUAAGCGAAUUUUUAGAGCUAGGGGGUGGGAUGUGAGCUUGCUCAAUCCACUCCACGCAUCGUCCUGGUAUUGCAGUAUUUCCAGGCACGGUGCACCCCUU
rnacentral:snRNA from 1 species